UCAGUGUGUGUGUUAGUGGAAGCGUCUGGAAAGGCGCGCGAUACAGGGUGACAGCCCCGUACACAAAAAUGCACAUGCUGUGAGCUCGAUGAGUAGGGCGGGACACGUGGUAUCCUGUCUGAAUAUGGGGGGACCAUCCUCCAAGGCUAAAUACUCCUGACUGACCGAUAGUGAACCAGUACCGUGAGGGAAAGGCGAAAAGAACCCCGGCGAGGGGAGUGAAAAAGAACCUGAAACCGUGUACGUACAAGCAGUGGGAGCACGCUUAGGCGUGUGACUGCGUACCUUUUGUAUAAUGGGUCAGCGACUUAUAUUCUGUAGCAAGGUUAACCGAAUAGGGGAGCCGAAGGGAAACCGAGUCUUAACUGGGCGUUAAGUUGCAGGGUAUAGACCCGAAACCCGGUGAUCUAGCCAUGGGCAGGUUGAAGGUUGGGUAACACUAACUGGAGGACCGAACCGACUAAUGUUGAAAAAUUAGCGGAUGACUUGUGGCUGGGGGUGAAAGGCCAAUCAAACCGGGAGAUAGCUGGUUCUCCCCGAAAGCUAUUUAGGUAGCGCCUCGUGAAUUCAUCUCCGGGGGUAGAGCACUGUUUCGGCAAGGGGGUCAUCCCGACUUACCAACCCGAUGCAAACUGCGAAUACCGGAGAAUGUUAUCACGGGAGACACACGGCGGGUGCUAACGUCCGUCGUGAAGAGGGAAACAACCCAGACCGCCAGCUAAGGUCCCAAAGUCAUGGUUAAGUGGGAAACGAUGUGGGAAGGCCCAGACAGCCAGGAUGUUGGCUUAGAAGCAGCCAUCAUUUAAAGAAAGCGUAAUAGCUCACUGGUCGAGUCGGCCUGCGCGGAAGAUGUAACGGGGCUAAACCAUGCACCGAAGCUGCGGCAGCGACGCUUAUGCGUUGUUGGGUA
rnacentral:rRNA from 1 species